UUCUGUACUUUCUGGUAGGCCUGCACGAUAUAUCGUUUGACUAUCGUCAUCGCGAUGUACGUGCCUGCGAUAGUCACAUCGCAGAGCCUGCGAUAUUGGAGGUGAAUGAACUCAUUUAAUUUCAAGGGUAACUGACUGAGAUACACUGCAUGUGACUCUGCAUGUGCUUUGCAGGGAUCCACCAAUCACAUUCGUCCUUAACUCAGUUGCCAAUCAGACUCACUUCUCAGUUGCCAAUCAGACUACCCUGCCAGCUGUCAAUCAAAAUCAGAGAGGAGGAAACCCACCCCUGCACAUGUUCUGCACAUGGAGGGAGACGUGUGUCCGCUGAGAAUUACUUUCCGAACUUUACUCAUGACUGUUUAGCCCAACAAAUAAGAACUGUAUGGGUUUUAAAUUGUACAUUUCCGUGGACCACUCUACUAUAAGCGGUGCGCGUUUUGCGAGGUGCAUGCAAUUCUCGGAGGACAUGCGUUUCUCGGCACAACACCGCUAACAACAACAACAACAACGAUCGCAAAAUGAACAACGAACAAGCGAAAACCACCGGAAAUGAAGAUUUGUUGCCUAAAAGAAAAGGAAAUUCAGUUAUCUGGAAUUAUUUCGGUUAAAAGAAGGACCAAAACACGUGUUCUGUGUUAAUCUGUUGCCACAAUAACGUCCCAGCACAAUAAAAGCUAAAAAUAUCUCUGAGACAGACAGAAGCCAUUCUAACAUUCACAAAAAGAGGUAAGAUCAGUGCAGGGUAACUGUCCUCAAGAUUUCAGCAGUGCAGCAUAACAUUAAAUGCUAUUCAGGUCAUCUGGUGAAAAUUCCUGUAUUUUUAAUGUCGCAAUAUAUAUCGCAGGGUUGAAAAAAUCGCAAUAUUAUUUUUUUCCAAUAUCGUGCAGCCUUACUUUCU